rnacentral:rRNA from 1 species
AGUGAACGCUGGCGGUAGGCCUAACACAUGCAAGUCGAACGGCAGCACAGUAAGAGCUUGCUCUUACGGGUGGUGAGUGGCGGACGGGUGAGGAAUACAUCGGAAUCUACUUUUUCGUGGGGGAUAACGUAGGGAAACUUACGCUAAUACCGCAUACGACCUACGGGUGAAAGCAGGGGAUCUUCGGACCUUGCGCGAUUGAAUGAGCCGAUGUCGGAUUAGCUAGUUGGCGGGGUAAAGGCCCACCAAGGCGACGAUCCGUAGCUGGUCUGAGAGGAUGAUCAGCCACACUGGAACUGAGACACGGUCCAGACUCCUACGGGAGGCAGCAGUGGGGAAUAUUGGACAAUGGGCGCAAGCCUGAUCCAGCCAUACCGCGUGGGUGAAGAAGGCCUUCGGGUUGUGAAGCCCUUUUGUUGGGAAAGAAAAGCAGCAGGUUAAUACCCCGCUGUUCUGACGGUACCCAAAGAAUAAGCACCGGCUAACUUCGUG